rnacentral:misc_RNA from 1 species
UGGAUGGUUUGGGUCGGCAGGCUCCAUGCUCGUGUAUCGAACUAUCGACUCUCCAUCCACUUCAGUCUCUGCCCUUUGUGCAGCUCUUGGCUUGUGGGUGCUUGAGGUAUCCUGUGUUGCUUACCCAUUGGAAAGGAAAUGUUGGUUCCGGUUACCCCUCCGCCUUUCUCCCUUUGGGUGCUGGGUGGACGCGAGGCGGGCUCUAUGUUACUUGCGUGUUGAGUGCGUUGAUGCUCGGACGUUUUGGCCCAUGGAGUCUUGGCCUGUGCUUUCGGAUGCGGAAUGCACUGUGUGUGUUGGUAUGGGGUCUUGGCCUCUACUCGUUUAAGCUGCAUGUUUGUCCCUUGACAUAAACGACUGCCGCACUUGUCUUGAUCGACCGACCGAGUCCAGUUGUAGGCCUCCGGGAGGGGCGGCUCAUACGGGUGUUGGUGUUGRARAGGAAUGY